UACGUAGGGUGCGAGCGUUGUCCGGAAUUAUUGGGCGUAAAGAGCUCGUAGGCGGUUUGUCGAGUCGGAUGUGAAAGCCCGGGGCUUAACUCCGGGUCUGCAUUCGAUACGGGCAGGCUAGAGUUCGGUAGGGGAGAUCGGAAUUCCUGGUGUAGCGGUGAAAUGCGCAGAUAUCAGGAGGAACACCGGUGGCGAAGGCGGAUCUCUGGGCCGAUACUGACGCUGAGGAGCGAAAGAGUGGGGAGCGAACAGG
rnacentral:rRNA from 1 species